rnacentral:rRNA from 1 species
GGUUACUGCUAUCGGUGUUCGCCUAAGCCAUGCGAGUCAUAUGUUCGUAAGAACAUGGCGUACUGCUCAGUAACACGUGGAUAACCUGCCCUUGGGUCCGGCAUAACCCCGGGAAACUGGGGAUAAUUCCGGAUAACGCACAUAUGCUGGAAUGCUUUCUGCGUAAAAUGGAUUCGUCUGCCCAAGGAUGGGUCUGCGGCCUAUCAGGUAGUAGUGGGUGUAAUGUACCUACUAGCCUACGACGGGUACGGGUUGUGAGAGCAAGAGCCCGGAGAUGGAUUCUGAGACAUGAAUCCAGGCCCUACGGGGCGCAGCGGGCGCGAAAACUUUACAAUGCGGGAAACCGUGAUAAGGGGACACCGAGUGCCAGCAUCCUAUGCUGGCUGUCCGGGUGUGUAAAAUACACCUGUUAGCAAGGGCCGGGCAAGACCGGUGCUAGCCGCCGCGGUAACACCGGCGGCCCGAGUGGUGAUCGUGAUUAUUGGGUCUAAAGGGUCCGUAGCCGGUUUGGUCAGUCCUCCGGGAAAUCUGACAGCUCAACUGUUAGGCUUUCGGAGGAUACUGCCAGACUUGGAACCGGGAGAGGUAAGAGGUACUACAGGGGUAGGAGUGAAAUCUUGUAAUCCCUGUGGGACCACCUGUGGCGAAGGCGUCUUACCAGAGCGGGUUCGACGGUGAAGGACGAAAGCUGGGGGCACGAACCGGAUUAGAUACCCGGGUAGUCCCAGCCGUAAACGAUGCUCGCUAGGUGUCAGGCAUGGCGCGACCGUGUCUGGUGCCGCAGGGAAGCCGUGAAGCGAGCCACCUGGGAAGUACGGCCGCAAGGCUGAAACUUAA